rnacentral:lncRNA from 1 species
UGACAUGAAUAACGAAAGUUUGUCCUCGCGAGAAACAUCUUUAACUUGAUGGCUCCUUUCCGGGGAGAUAAGAGCGGUGCCUCAUGAAGCACUCCGAAGACGGCUCCGGGGAUCCAUUAACGAAGCUAUAAUUCGGAGUCUUGCUUGGUCUUCAACCUCCUUUGAGAUAUUCGGGAUCCACUAAUAUUCAUUACAUAUAGCGUUUAUCCCAUAAUUGACGAGUAUCUCUGAAGUCAAUAACCACCCAAAGAAACGUUUGUAAGUUGGAUUAGGGAUAUGAACAUUAGGUUUAGACAAUAAAUACCUCCACUUUCCUCAUUUGUAACUCAUUCUGAUUUCGCUCUACUUAUUCAUAAUUAUAAGCUACUGCAUUUAUAUCUUGUCAAGCUGGGCAAUUGAGCUUUACUUUGCAGUAUUGUGGCUCAUAAGCACUCUCAAUAAGAUCACUCUUUUCGUUAUUUACCUACUUUGAUCGCAUUAUUGCUUAUUUGGUCUAGCCAAACAAUUUAUUCAACUAACCUUUAAUUUGAACUGAUUAUUGUUACCUCAUAAAAUAUAAAUUCAAUCGUUUAUCAUGAAGCUAUUUUUGGGUUGAACAGUUGGAGCAGUUCUUUCUUUUUUUUUUCAGUUUAGGUUAGUGACGAACGCAAACACAACACGAAAUUUAUGCUCGCUAGCCAAAGAUAGUAUAGUUAUGAUUAUCGUCUUCACAUGGAUUGAUCGCUAGAAGAUAGGAGUUGAGAAGAAUUGAUUUCUUAUCAAUGUGAGAAAUAAGGGUCAUGACAGGAUAGGUGCAAGAUAGUUAUUGUAACAACCCGACCGAUCAUUUUGAGCAUUUACGUUCUUUUCAACUAUUUGAAAUCUUGAAUAGGUUCAUAUGAUGUAUUAUGACGUGUGUGAGUAGUCGGUUUUGGUUUUCAGGUAUUUCGGAAUUAGUUCGGAAGAAUGAAUCUCAUGUUUGAAGCUUUAAGUUGGACGAGUUGACCAAGUUUGACUUUUUAGUAUUCGGCCUCAGAUCGGAGUUUUGAUGAUUCCGUUAGGUUCGAAUGGUGAUUUGGGACUCGGGGAAAAUUGUAAAAAUUUUAAUAAAUAAAUUUUUGGGAUUUGAAUGUCGAUUCGGAGUCGGAUUUGAGUGAAACUAGUAUGGUUGGACUCGUAAUUGAAUGAGUUAUCGGAUUUUGUGAGUUUCGUUGGAUUCCGAGAUGUGGGUCCCACUGCCGACUUUUCGAGCGGAGUUGAGAAUUUUUAUAAAUUAUUAAAUUGUAAGCAUUUGGAGUAUAUUUUGAUUAAUUUGCACGUUGUUUGACUAGUUUCGAAUCGUUUGGCUUGGAAUUGAGGAGAUAGGAAGGCAUUCGGAGGUUGAUACGCGCGGAAUGGAAUUUCUGGAGUAUUGUUUAUCUUGCUCGGCAUUGGAUUCGGCUUGUUCGAGGUAAGUAACAUUUCUAAACUUCGAGCUGAGAGUAAACCACGAAAAUACGUGUUAUAUAAUUUGCUUGGGGGUGACGCACAUGCUAGGUGACGGGCGUGUGGGCGUGCAUCGUAGACACUAUGACGUAAUUAUUUCCGUGGAAUUGUAUAGUCAUCAUGUUUAGCCUAAUGUCCCAUGUCUACGUGUUUUAAAAUCUUACUUGCAAUUUAAACAACAUGCUUAGUUGAAUUACCUGUUUUUCUUGAAUUCGUAUUCAGUCUUUAACUAUAGGACUCAUUGUUGUAAAUUCGUCAUUCCAUAGGUUAUGAGUAGUGUAUUCACUUUUGGGACUACGAGGUGGUACCUCUGGAGCUCUCCUAUUGCAUAUUUACUUUGGGGACUACGAGGCGGUACCUCAGGAGCUCCCCUGUUGCAUAUUUACUUUUGGGACUACGAGGCGGUACCUCGGGAGCUCCCCUGUUGCAUAUUUACUUUUGGGACUACGAGGCGGUACCUCGGGAGCUCCCUUGUUGCAUAUUUACUUUUAGGACUACGAGGCAGUACUUCGGGAGCGCCCUAUUGUUUAUUAUCCAGAUAUUGAUACAAUAGCACGUGAGUUGUCCUUGCAGCACAUGAGUUAUCCGUGCGGAUUAUAGCGCUUCGGCUGAAGGAGCCCCUCCGGAGUCUGCCUCCCCCCUCCCCUCCCCCCCACAGUGAGCGCAAUUGAUUUUAUAUUUUUGGGAUGGACUUCCAUGGGCAUGAAUCUUGCCCGAAUCAUUUAUUAUAUUUGGGAUGGAGUUCCCUGGUCUGGAUUGGCCCUGUACAGUACUGAGUGACUGAAUGUCAGUUAUUAUGUAUAUAUAUGGGAUGGAUCUUCCCUCUGCUGGAUUGUCCAUAUACAGUACUGAGUGAUUGAGUACUCUAAGAGUGUAAGUACAUGAGUUCAUCAUUGUGCUGCAUUGCAUUAGACAUGCAUACUUGAUAUAUAGGCAUAGAGAAGUAUUUUUCCUCAUGCCAUCUCAUAAUGAAAUUUCUUAUCUGUCGUUAAAGUUUUUGAGAAAAAUCACAUAUUUCAGACUUACUCAUAUUUCGGUGACUUUCGAAAAAAGAACUGAGUUUUACUAUUAUACUUGAAAAGAAAAUAUAUAUUUUUUUGGAAUUGUAUACGAGCUGAGAAUUUUAUUAUUGAGUUAUUACUUAUGCUGUUUUAAAUUUUACUGUUAUGAGAUGAUUUUGGUUAUUGGUAUGGGCUCUGACCUUGGUACAAGCUUGUCACUACUUUCAAUCUAAGGUUAGGUUUGUUACUUAUUGAGUAUAUAGGGUCGGUUGUACUCAUAUUAUAUUUCUGCACCUUGUAUGCAGGUUUCUGAUGUUGAUGUUGAUGUGUAUGGCGGGAGCUGGAUCUGAAGAUGUACCUGCGUUUUAGUCAUAACUGCCUCUUGUUCAUGGUAGCUUUAGAAUUUUAAUCUGUUCAUGUAUAUUUCAAACAGAUGUUGUAUUUUAUUUCAUACUAGCUUUGUAAACACUAAAUCUUAGAAGCUCAUGAUUUGUACUACCAGUCCUUGGGGAGUGUAUUAGAG